GUUGGGAGUACCCGCAAUUCGGGAAUUAUUUGCUACAGCUGUGUUGUUGUUGUUGUCUUGCGCUGAGAACUGCCCCGCUCCACGCCUCAGGGCUCGCUUAGCGCCUGUGUUUUGGUACGGAAAGACCUGCCCUGAGUUAGAUCUGGAGGGGAAUUUUAUCCAAGGCAGGGAAAUCUUGACACACACACAGCUGGGGUUGUGAGCCCUGCGCAAAAUACUCCUCCUGACCGGCCUGUGAAAACAAAGCGAGGCACUGAAGCGAAAUGGGAGGCCGCCUGUUGCAGGUAAGCAAGCGACCGCUCUGCUUGGCCAGCUAUAAAAGCCAAACCGGGCGCGCGGGACUUGUGGUGGCACUGCCUGAAAAAACAAACAAGCCGGGCAGCCCCUAGCGGCCUCGCAGCUGCCUGGAAGCCGUUAUUUGCUCGCUGCCAUUGGCGCCUGCGCCGUGUUUUCUCAAGCCGUCUCCGGGCGAGCGGCGUCGAGUGAAGCUCCAGCUCAGGACUCCCUUUGAAGCGCGGAAGAUCAAACGCCUCCCAGACCCUUGUCCCACCCCAAGGCCUUAAUCAGCCCGGCUGGCUGCGCCCGUUUUGCUCUCUCGCGGUAGACACCGCUCUCAGCACAUCCGAGCCCCGCUCAAAGCCAUUCACACGACCACGGGCGUCGCCUGUUUGGCCCGGACAGCUCCCGGGCAAACAAACGAGACGCAUUCGUGGGGCUUUAAUGAAAGGGCGGGAGAUGAGAAAUAAACGGCGGCCGCCGGUGCUUCGCUUUACUCUCGCCGGGCGACUGGGCUCGCUCGGCUCCCUCUGGUGGAGACUUCAAAGUUUUGGCUGGUGCGCCUCCGUGAAAAUGGCUUUUUCUUGCUUUUUUCCUUUUGGGACUUGGCUACGGUUUGUUAAUCAUGACGUGUUUUUUUCUCAGAAAACUGCUGGGCAUGUUUUCUCUCAAGUUCGAGCGGUCCUUUCCAAAACCUCGUGUCAACAAGGAGGAUUAAUGGAGGCGGGGGGAUAAUCCCUCCAUGCAGAAAAAGGCUCAAGGAAGAGGGUGCGAGGCCAGUGAGGGGUGGGGGGCUGGGUAAGUGGGGGGAGGGGCAGAGGACCCCCACCCCUGGUUUAGGGUGGUCUUGUUAUGCACAAAAUUUGAAAUGGCUUGAAGGGGAACAAUUGAGACCAGUAAGUUGAAGCAGAACUUGGAAGAGCAACUAUUGCAGCAAUUGCAAGAUCUGGAGGAGUGUAGAGAUUAUCUGGAUGCAGGCGAGUACGAAAUUCAAGAUCUUUAAAACAACAACAGCAACCUCGUGUCAGCGCAUGUCAGUAAAUAAAGCAGAGAGAGAGAGGGCAGGAAUGCCCCCCCCUUUAAUUGGCAGGUUGUGCAGGUGAGCUCUCUCUGGGCAUGGGGACAAGAGUCACAGCCUUGUUGGUAGUCUGAGGUGAGGACCAAGCUGGCAUGAAAGGCACAGGAGCAGGCCAGGCCUGUUCAUGUUAAGUUGGUAAUAGUAUCUCUAUUCCCAUACCGCUCAAGAGCCUCAUUUUUGGCCUUGGGAAGGAGGAAGCACCCUGGGGCCCUUGUCAGAGAGCCAUUCUGCCUCCUGCCCGUAGAAGCCUCUUGCUUUUCUCUUGCGAUGCAUGAGGGGCUCACUUUGUUCUCCCGCACCUCCAUAUUUCCCCCUCGCAACACACCCCUAACGUGGGAGUCAGCCCUGCUGAAAUUGGUGGGCUUACUAGGGGAAGCCCCUCUUGUGGGCGAAGUGGGACAUGGCCCUGCCAGGAUUCUGAACUCCAGCCUUUUUUCCUGUCACACACUGUAAUAUCAACACAUUUCCAAUACAUUUCCCACUCCACAUGCCACCUUUCUCAAAGGAGAGGUGCUUGUGAAGAAUUGCCCCCCCAUAUACCCAAGAGUUAAGCAGUAAGUGUGUGUGUUAAAGGGGGGGGGGUGAUGCUGUGCAAGAAUAGCAGAUCCUCGCAUAGAGACAAGAUAAUUAUUACUGUAAUAUCCAGGAAGAAAUGGCAGCUCACUGUGAUUUCAAACGAGGGCAAGGGUCUGUUUUUUGCAACUUGGGAUCUUCUGUGUGCAAACUUGCUUCUGAGUAGACAGGGCUGCGCUAUUAAGUGUUGCAUUUUCUGCAUGAAAUAGGAAACGCUGGUUUAAAACUACAGCUGGCAUUGUGCAGGGGGUUGGACUAGAUGACUCUUGUGGCCUCUUUUCCUUGCUCUCUGCCUGGAGCAGCCAAGAGGUUCCUGCCGCUUGACUCAAGGUUUAACAGCAGCAACAGAGCUUCUAGUUCCUAGAGUGGAAUGGAAGGUUGUCAGAGAGAGGAGCUUAUGUUUCACCCUCUUCCUAGCUCUGCCUCUGUUACUGGAGAAGAGGAAUGUAAGUGAGCCCAGGCUAAGAUGUAUUCCAAGGAACUGGGCCACUGAAUGCAAAGUCAAAAUCAAAGAGUUUACACAAAGUUUAUAAGCGCAAACUAACUUUUCACCCCCUAACGCUUAGAUCUUCCACUAAGAUGUUCUCAUGUAAGAGGGGAGAAGGGAUGAGAAGUGAAGCAUGAGGUUAUUAGAACAUGGUGAUGUAGCAACACUGGGCUUCUUCAUCUUCCUGGUGCAUCCAGUGUUGAAUUCACAUUAUCAUGCAGUGUGUACGCACCCUAAAGCACCCUGUCCUAGAGUAAUGGGAACCCUAGCCCGCUAUACAGGUGAAAAUCGAAAAAUUAGAAUAUCGUGGAAAAGUUUAUUUAUUUCAGUAAUUCAACUUAUAGGUGAAACUAAUAUAUGAGAUGGACUCAUGACAUGCAAAGCGAGAUAUGUCAAGCCUUUAUUUGUUAUAAUUGUGAGGAUCAUGGUGUACACCUGAUGUCAUGAGUCUAUCUCAUAUAUUAGCUUCACCUUUUAAGUUGAAUUACUGAAAUAAAUGAACUUUUCCAAAAUGUUCUAAUUUUUUGAGUAAAUUUUUCUAGGAGUGCUGAGAAUCAUAGUUCUAUGAGAGGUGAACUACAGUUCCCAGGAUUCUUGGAGGUAUGUGCUUUAAAUGUAUGGUGUGUACACAGUCUGUGAAUGUAGAACUUGUUCCAUAGCCAUAUCCAGUAUUUUUUUUUCCCAAGAGGAAAAGAUGCCGGAACUCACCAUGAAGUUGUUACAGUAAGUUGCGGGACGACUCAGGGCAGCCCUGAACAGAUCCCAAAGCCCCUGGUUCUGGUGCCGGUCAAUUAAAUGUACUCCCACCUCCCUUGUUCCUUUAGAUUCAGGUGGAUGGCUAGGGCAGCUUGGAAGGGCCCUUGUGCAAAUGCAAAAGUUUUUGUCCCUUAGAAUAUCAUAGCAGUAGAGUACAGUAUAAAGGGACAAGCUAGUGUCCUCCCCCCCCGCCAUAACUUGUAUUAAUUUUUAUUAUAUCUAGUUUACUGUUUAUUCUGGAUCCUCAACACUGUAGCCAUAGAAUCAUAGAAUUGUAGAGUUGGGUUUCCAAGGGUCCUCUAGUCUAACCCCCUGCAAUGAAGAAAUCUUUUGCCCAAGGUGGAGCUCGAACCCAGAACUCUGAGAUGAAGAGCCUCAUGCUCUUUCCCUUUUCUUGUGCUAUGUGGCAGCUGGUGUUCAGAGGAGAGGUACCCUGCUCUUGAGCCGAGAGGCAUCUUUAAGAUAAUAUCUUGGUUUCCUGUUAAUUAUGCUGCUUUGAAUGUAUACUUUAUAUUGGACUAUCAUGAAAAACUUUGCUAAAAGUCUUAACGUGCAAGAAAACCCUCCCCCCACCAGUGAUACCGAUGUAGAAUGGAAUGUCGCUUUUUUCCUCUGAGGGAUGUUGGGAGGGUAUGUCUUCUGAGUUUGGGUCCCGGAGUGUAACGUUUCACUGGCAUUGGUAUUAUCAUUUAUUAGAUCCAUACUCUUCACCUCUCUCUGAAAGAGCCCAGAGCUACAAGCAUAUCCAUCUUAAUACAAUUAAAAUUUCUAAAGGACAAUGUAAAACAGUCUUUUAAAAAACAAUUUGUAACUGCUAAAAGUAAUCGUGUCCUUUCAAUUGCAGGGUUUCUAGGGUCAUAACUUUCAGCCAGCAGAAGCCUCUGUAAACAGGAAUGUUUUGUAAAUUCCUUGUAAAAGUUAAUAUUAUUUUUACUAAUAUUUAGGGCGUUUGUAGUCCACCCAAGAAGCCCAGGGCAGCAAACAUAUACAAGUUAAAAACAAAAAGGAAAGCAAAAACAUUCUAAAAACAAAUGCAAUUGAAAACAUCUAAAAGCAUGUACCUUUGCUAAACCGCCGUUCCCAGGAUGCUUUAGGGGAGAGACAUGGCAAUUAAAGUGGUAUAAACCUGAUACGUUUGUAACAUAAAUGUGCUUAGAAUCCCAUAUAGAAGAAUAAUGGAUUGUCUCAGGCUUUGACUUGCUUCCUUGCAAAUAUCCUGUUAGACCUCCUUUAGACAUUCCCUUACCUGUAGUUGCUCCUAUGCUCAUCAGAGAAUGUCAGAAGACUUUAAUCCAUGAGGAUGUAUCAGAUGUCAUGGUUAGUAACUCUGCAGGCAAUGUAGACCCCAAGCGACUGGCCUUAAUUGCAACCGUCAUGUCUGAAGAAUGAGCAACCAAAACAUAUAGGAGGGCUCAAAAUCCUUAUUAAAAAGAAAGGCUUUAACUUCCCUCUUAAACUCAAGCAAUGAAGGAGCCAUAUGGACCUCUCAGGGAAGAGAGUUCAAGUAUUGACACCUUAUGAAUACCUGAGAGAUAGUGAGAAGAUAUCAGUUCUUACCCAGGGUGAUAUGCAGGAAGGUGGUCCUUCAAGUAAACCUGGGACUAAUCUACACUGGUCAAUUACAACGUUAAAAACUCGUUAUAAAAAUGUGACACCAGAAGGCGCUGUAGAGCAGCAAUUCAUCAUCAAUGGGAAAUUGUAUUGAGUGGUUUCUUUAUGCGUUUUUUCAGAUCAGUGUAGAUCCAGCCCUGGUCACAAGCCUGGUCACUUUGAGGCAUAACACAUAAUGUCUGCUGUGGUGGCUUGGUAUAAUGGCUGCAACAUGUAAAAGAGCCAAUGGGUUUUAUCACCCACCAUGCCCCAAACAAUUAAAUUCAAAUAGGACAAGUGGGCUUGAUUUAUAACCAUUUCUUUUUGGAGAGACAAUCCAGUAUUUCCAUUUCCUUUUAUUGUGUUGGACAAAGCUCAGCUGUAACGCCAUAAAUGGGUAACAAUACCACGCAAAUAGGUUUGAAUAAAUUCAGAUUAAUUUUUUACUUCUACUGGCAAUUUGAGUACUCCUAAGCAUAAUAGAGCAGUACUGUUACUUCCCUUGAUCUGGACGCUAUACUUCUGUGGAUGCAGCCUAGAAUAGCAUUAGCUUUUUUUGCUGCUGCAUCAAUCACACUGUUGACUCAUGUUAAGCUUGUGGUCCACUAAGACCCCUAAACCUACUAGUAUGGUUUUAUUUUAUUUUGAGUAUGAAUGAAUAAAAAUAAUUUCCUCCCUUUCAUCUGUGCAUAAAAGAAGCAGAAUUACAUUAGAGGACCUUUCCUAUACUGUCAAGAUCUCCCAUCAAUUUCAGUCCUAAUUCAGGUAUUCCAAAUUGCAGGUCUUAACUUAAUGGGACCACAGGCAGGACUUCAAAUUGAUGGAGGUCGAAGGCAGUUACAUUUUAUUUGGUCAUUCUACUUUCUAAUGAGGAAUAGGUGCUAUGACACCCCCCUUGCACACCAGUACCCUGAAACUAACACACUUUAUAAGGACAGCAGGGGAUGCUUAUAAAUCAGUUACUAAAGCCCCAUCCUGGUUUUGUGUCUCUUGAAAAUGCCGCCAAGCUGUGAAAAUUCUUCUGAUAAAAUGAAAAGUGACAGAGCAACUGGGAUUUAAUACCAAAAACACCGGUCAAAAUUGGGUUAUAUGAUUCCUCAAGUCUAUGGAAACCAUGCUUUUUAAUCCUGUGCUGAUGUUAGAUCACUUUAUGAUGAGAUGAUGUAGUGCAUGGCAAUGCAGUCUUCUGUAAGGAGCUAAUCCAUAUAGAAUUCAACACUAUUUGAACGUUGCACGGGUGACUGAAAACCAGUGUUGCUCCCAGGCUCAAGUGGUGGUGUGAUGUGGUUCCUUGGAGUCCACAGAGUUUAUUUUUAGGAAAAGCAAAGAAAACCUACCAUACAUAUGUUUUGAGGAACAAGCAUUUAUUUGGAGUCACUGAAAUUUGUUAUUUAGGGAAGCAUGCAGUAAAUAGGUUUGCUUGCAGCCUCAUCCAAUGCAUGAGGUAGUUUCCAUGGAGCUCAGUUGGUCUUACUGCUUGGUAAGUGUGUAUAGGAUUGCAGGCAUUCUGUACAGAGUUCGGCAUGUUGCCUAAACCCAGGAAAUCAAUAGAUUUUCACACUGUUCUUCUAUGUGCCAAUUACAGAAUUCCUGAUGAGUUGCAUAAGAUAGCGUUACCAGAUUAUAUGUCCCCUCCUGACGUUGUGAAAGGAUGCAGUUGCUGCCUAAUCUAUAAGAAGAGAAUGGUGUAUCGCAGUGGCACUGAGACAAAUGCAUUCAUCGCUAGGGGGGUUCCAUCAGGUCUUAAUUUCCCCUGCACUGAGUCAUGUUGCUUAAUUCAUUCCGAUUCCUUUGAACAGUUUCUCAAUAUUCCCAGAGAGCACAGGCAAUUCAUUUUACUGAUUUCCUUCACUGAGGAUAGAUAAAAAUAUCAUUAAACUUAUCAUCAGCAUGAAAAUGGUUUUGAAGGCAGAAAGAGGCAAGCAAUAAAAAAAUCCCCCUCAAGAUUGCACCAGUACUCACUUCAUCAAAGCAGUACAGAUUAUAAAUGUUAAUUUCCCUUAAAAGCUGGGUGUUUAUUUCAUAAAAUACAAUCCUUUAAUUACAGCUGUGUAAUAACUGACCACCCACAGGCAGCAUUGUUGUGGGUAGGAUAUUGUCAGGUCUUGCAAGGAAUUUAGGUAAGGCCAGUAAGUGUGUGGAGAUAGAAAACCUUUUCAAUAUUGCAAACUGCAACGCUCUUUGUCAUGUAAGGGAUUUGCUUUUUUUUGGAAGACAAAAGAAAUGGGUAUUCUCACCGUUUCUAGAAUGGUUUGAGAUUGGAGCACACCAAUAUAAGUGCAGGUAGCAUGCUGAUAUUUCUUUUUAACCUGUCCUUAAAAUGCUCUGACUUUUUUGGUGGACUGCCCCUUUCCACCCCACCCAUCACUUUAAAGUUUUAUAUUAUCCUGUUGGUGCUGCAUUCUGUUUAUUAAUCGCUUAUAUAACUAUGACUGAUAUAAAAGGGACUGUCUAUUUCUGUAUAAAUGUACCCUCGGGCUAAGAGCAGCCUCUGAGGCUCUGCUCCAGGUCCCAACACUAUCUGAAGUAAGUUGGGAUGUGGGAUCUUUUCUGAUGUGGAACUCUGUUCCCUGAACCAACUUAUCAAUUGGCACCAUCUUUAUUUUCAUUUCAGCACCAGACAAUUCUUCUAAUGUUAAUUUUUUAUAAAAAUAUUUGUUAAUUUAAUCUAUUGACUAGUGUGGCUGUCAUGGUUUUACAUUUUUAAAGUAUUUAAAAAUACUUUAAAAUAUUUACUUAAAAGACCCUGGUUUUUCUAUAUUUUACUCAAGACUAUAUAAACAACUGUCCAAUAGCUGUGUAGUAUUCAUAACACUAAUGCUUCUUUAUAGAUUUCAUGUCUACUUAAUUUUUAUUUUAUUAAUAAAGUAAAUCAAAGAUAAAGAGCAAAAAGAAGUUACAGCAGGUUGAAAGCAGCAUAAAGUCGGACAUUAUAAAUGAAUUUUUUGAUCCAAAAUAUUGUAAAACAUAUCCAUUCCCCAUAAACCUCUUAGGCUGGCUUGCACGUUUUCUUUGGUAAUAAGUAAUGUCUUUGAGAUAACCAAGCAGAAAUCAUUUAAGUUCCAGAGGUAAAUAUCAGAGAUAUUAGCCUGAACGGAUUUCUGGAAUAUUUCUAUUUGAGAACAAUUCCAAAAUAGGUGUAUGUAAUCUGCUUUAUUGAUUAAACAGAGCCAAUUAAUUAUUAAAUAAGACAGUAGUAGAGAGGCAGCAACAGAAGUUAACAGACUCUCCAAGUGUCCCUAUUUUCCAGGGAUUCCAGUCCUGGAUUUACAGAAACUGUCUUGGUUUCUGAUCUGAACCCAGAAUAUCCUGUUUUUCCUUAGGACGUCCCUAUUUUCAUCAGAGAAAUGUUGGAGAGGAAAAAGUUAUGCAACUCACAAGCCAAUGAGAUAAGUAACUAUACAACCUUUAGAAGACAUCCAAAGGCAGCCCUGUAUAGGGAAGUUUUUAAAUGUUUAAAUUUUAUUUAUUUAUUUAUUAAACAGGACAUCCAUAUCUUCGUUGGAGAAAUGUUGGAGGGUAUGAGUUAAGUGGGAGUUAAGUCAGGGUGUGUGCAGAGAGGCAUGGGCUAUAUCAUUAGGCUCCCUAAAAAAAGGUAAAGGUACCCCUGCCCAUACGGGCCAGUCUUGACAGACUCUAGGGUUGUGCGCUCAUUUCAGUCUAUAGGCCGGGAGCCAGCGCUGUCCGCAGACACUUCUGGGUCACGUGGCCAGCGUAACAAGCUGCAUCUGGCGAGCCAGCGCAGCACACGGAACGCCGUUUACUUUCUUGCUGGUAAGCGGUCCCUAUUUAUCUACUUGCACCCGGGGGUGCUUUCGAACUGCUAGGUUGGCAGGCGCUGGGACCGAACGACGGGAGCGCACCCCGCCGCGGGGAUUCAAACCGCCGACCAUGCGAUCGGCAAGUCCUAGGCGCUGAGGUUUUACCCACAGCGCCAUCCGCGUCCCCCCUUUUUUUUACAAAUAUUUUAGGGUAGGCUCCCUACCGCCUUGCAAAAGCAGUUGCCUGUCAAUAGGUUUUACGUGGUUUCAUACCCACACAGGGCUGUGGGUGUGUGAAUUUGUGUGUGUAUUAAUUUCAGGAGUACAGUGGUGCCCCGCAAGACGAAUGCCUCGCAAGACGGAAAAACCGCUAGACGAAAGGGUUUUCCGUUUUGAAGUUGCUUCGCAGGACGAAUUCCCCUAUGGGCUUGCUUCGCAAGGCGAAAAUACCUUGCGAGUCUUGAGAUUUUUUUUUCCGCUUUCCCCCUUUAUCUAAUCUGCUAAGCCUUUAAUAGCCUUUAAUAGCCUUUUAGCAGCUAAUCCCCUAAGCCUUUAAGCCUUUAAUAGCCGCUAAACCGCUAAUAGCGCUAAUAGCGCUAAUCCGUCAAUGGGCUUGCUCGCAAGACGAAAAAACCGCUAGACGAAGACUCUCGCGGAACGGAUUAAUUUCGUCUUGCGAGGCACCACUGUAACUUCUUUACCCUGAAAUGAGGAGUAAGGGAUAUGAUUCCACAAAGUUGUGAAAGUACUGAGCGCAGGACAAUACUGUAUGCUAUGGGUAGGCAAACUAAGGCCCGGGGGCCGGAUCUGGCCCAAUCGCCUUCUAAAUGCGGCCCACGGACUGGAAAUCAGCGUGUUUUUACAUGAGUAGAAUGUGUCCUUUUAUUUAAAAUGCAUCUCUGGGUUAUUUGUGGGGCAUAGGAAGUCGUUCAUUUUCCCCCCAAAAUAUAGUCCGGCCCCCCACAAGGUCUGAGGGACAGUGGACCGGCCCCCUGCUAAAAAAGUUUGUUGACCCGUGCUGUAUGCUGUCUUUCCUUCAGCUAGUAUUCAGUGUUGAAAUAGUUGACAGCUUAACAACUGUUUAAAAUGCAAUUCGAAACACAUCAGAAGGUAGAAAUAUGAACAAGGCAAAAAUAUUCAAAAGUAAUUUUUUUUAUUUCAACUCUAUAAAGUAUACAACAGGCACUCGGCAAUUACAGCUGCAGGGAAAAUACAGAGCAAAACAAAAGCAGUUAAGUUUAUGAUAAAAAGUUUUUGUUUUCGUUUUAGUCUACAUCAAAAGAGUGCAACUGGUCAAAGACCAUUUGAUGAAAGUGUAUUCUUGGACAAACAAAACUAAAUCCUCCUCUUUCAUGUAGAAUCCUCAGUAAGAAGAAAACCAAAGGAAAAAUAGCCAUUAAGAUUAUAAAGGAAGCCACCAGUGUAAAAACAGCAUACAUUGGAAUAAGUACGGUAGUAGGCAACGCUGAAUCAAUUUCCCUUUGCUAUUAAAGCCUGAAACAUCAAUGUCUCAGUGCUGUGGUCUGUUUAUGGAGUGGACUGUUCACAGAGGAAGAGGACAAAUAACACACUUUCAGUGUUUAGCUUUCUAGGUGUACUACUGAGAGUUUGUCUCAGAAACAUUUGCAUAUACAAGGAAACUCAUAGAAAGCACUGGUCCUGUUUUGUUCAGUGGUGCAACAAGAUUCACUCCUUCUGCAGUCAUUGGUUUCACAAUGGAAAGAAUAUGUUUUUUUUUGUUUGGUGUAAAUUUGACAGUCAGUUUGCUAAUCAUUGGUCUGAUCGGAAUAUUUUUGCAAUGGAGCCUAUUAUAAAAUGUGAUAUGUUAGAACUUUUACUGCACUACAGUUUUAAAAUUUGCACAGCUUAGCAAAACAGGAAUACCUGUAUACAGACUGAUAGUAUGUCAUAUAUUAAUUUGACCUGCACAUACAUUUAUACAUUUCACAGAAAUGACGCUGUAUCUCAUUAACAGAUACACAGCUCUGGUACAUUUAUAACAGAAAUAAGAGAACAACUUCAUCAUUUCUGUAAUUCAUCAAUAUUAUAUAAUAAAGGCUUAUAAACUGUUAGCCGAAAGAACUGUAAAACGCAGCAAGCUAAGAAAGGACAACAUUUUGAGGUGUGUUUGUCUUUGUCAUGCAGCAUAACACCAAAUUUGUAUUUUUUUUAAAUAGGAUGCCAUGAAUUUUAAGGCACUUGCAACAAUGCCAAAUAACUAGAUGAUGAUCUAAAAACUAUGGGACAGAUGGACAACGGUACAGUUGACAUAAGUUUCAGUAAUACUGACAAUUAUGACAUUAAUUCAAGUCUACUUUGAUCUAAAAACAUUACCUUACAAAUAAGAAAAUGAAAGAAUAAUGCAAUGAAGUUCUAAAUAAAAAGCUAUAUGUGUACCACAAAAUAUCAACACGAAAAAAAUAUCUAUUUACAUAAAUAUUUGCUUGUGGUCCUAUUAUUAAAUAAGAAUUUUCUGUGAAUGAUGCAGCACUGUAAUAAUAAGCUAAAGCUUACCUGUACCUUUAGAACCCAGUUCUAGCAAAUGUGUCUCCAUUAUGACAGCAAAUUUCUUUUUUAUGCAGAUACACCAUCAUUUCAUAUGUUAAAGGGAAGCAGAGAUCCCAAGCACAUUUAUAGGGAGUAAACUCUACCAAAAUGAAUGGACCUUACUCAUGAGCAAAUUGAUCUGAGGACUGCAGCCAUAAGUAAUAAGUAGUCUGCAUACAAAAUUUCCAAGCAGAACUGCUGGCAAGCUUUCAUUCUCAGCCAUGUGAUUUGGACUUGGGUCAUUGGGUGAUAUUCAGUCAACUUGGGAGUUGACCCAUUGAAAUUAAUGGUCAUGACCAACUUAGCUUCACUGAUUUCUACUCUGAAUAGGAUGUAGUUGACUUAUUUCCACCCCCCACCGCCCUCACCCUCAAAUUGUGUGGUUUUUCCACUCUGGCCUGCAGCUACUAAUGAUAUGUGUUGGAGCUAGGGACUUCUGUAAUAGUAUGGCCCUGCUUCAUGUCCUAGCCAGGCACAGAAAACUCACCAGGGGAUGGAUUCCAUUCUUCUGUGGGAUCUGCAUGGAAAGAGUAGCAUGUGCACUAGUUGUAAGUUGCAGUACACUGGAAUGUGAAUGUGUGUGUAUAUGCUUUUGUAUAUAUAUGUGUGAAUAAAAUGUAUUACUUAUAAAUGCAGGGUUUAUUAAUACACACACGCUAGCUUAAGAUAUUUAAAAUACAUUUGGUGAAGAAGAUGCCAGUGAGUCAUAUGAAAAAAUAAAUCUGUAUUAAGUGCACACCGCACCAAUUAUAUACUAUUGAAUGCGGCUCAAGGACAAACGGAAGGAAUCAAGCCUAAUAAUUCAUACCAAGCUCCCUUUGAAACUUUCCUUGCAUAAUUAUUACUAAAUUUGUGUGUGACUACUCUUCAGCUGAAUGCUUUUAGUUUAACACAUUGUCAUUUGAGCUAUUUAGAGUGGAAAUAGCAUGUUCUCAUGUUUAUAACCAGGAAAAGUCAAUUAAUCAAAAAGAACAAGUUUUGCAUUUAAGUUCACUCAGUGUAGGAGUAUGAAUUAAGCUGGAGUUCUGGGAGUGCUUUUUAGAAGUGAGUCCACCUGCAAUGUAGAAACAAGGUGACUUAUGACCAAGAUGACUAGUCAUGUUCUAGCCCUAUCGUAUAAAAUGUCAGGAAAUGCUUCGGAUAGUGUUCAAAUGCUUAAGUUGAGAAUUGCAUAUGUGUUGGAUGGUGUAUAAAAGUAAUUGGCAGAUGUAGCAAAUGCUGUGCUAUACUGGUUUAAUGAGCAGCAGAAAUGAUAAAUGAUGAUGUAAAGCUUUUUGCUGUCUUUUAUUGGUUUAUACUUUAAAAAGGAGGAGGCUGACUAUUAGUUUUAGAAGCCUGAGUGACAUGAAAUUAUGUUCUUCCAGAAAACUGUUGAUAUAUUUACUUAUUGGAGAAUGAUGUAUAUCUGUUUAGAAAACCUGUGUUCAAGUUGUUGAUAGCUACAUGAAUGUGAAGAAUUGUUGGAUUAAAUUGUAGGAUAGCUCUGAAGUGGCAUAUUUGAUUUCAUGCACUUGCAAGCAAAGAGAACCCUGUUUAAUGAUUUUGACAAAGGGUAAAAUCAAGGUAAAUGUGGUUAAUUUUACAAAGAAAAAGCCUGACCCCCAAUUUUUUUACUCAUUUAAAAAAUCUGUCCAGAUUUGGACAGAAAAGAUCAUGGGUAGGCAAACUAAGGCCCAAUCACCUUCUAAAUCCAGCCCGCGGAGAAUCUGGGAAUCAGUGUGUUUUUACAUGAGUAGAAUGUGUCCUUUCAUUUAAAAUGCAUCUCUGGGUUAUUUGUGGGGCAUAGGAAUUUGUUCAUUCCCCCCCCCCCAAAAAAAAUACAGUCCGGCCCCCGACAAGGUCUGAGGGACAGUGGACUGGCCCUCUGCUGAAAAAGUUUGCCAACCCCUGGAAAGAUUAUGGGUCCAUCCAACACUAUCUGGGAUUAUUGCCACAAUGGUUAACUAGCUUUUGCAUGCUGGAAGGUCUGUGAUUACAGCUACCAUAUGCAGAUUCUGUAAUAAUUCCUGGUAUACAAUAAAGUACCUCCUGUAGACUGAUUUUAUAGGAUUAAAUAAAGUAGCACUUUAUUUUUGUUUUUACUUCACUUCCUUCUGCUUUACUUACCCAUAUUUUAAUUGCAAUAUUUUAAUAUAUUUUUAUGUCUCGUUUGAUAAAUUGUAGUAAGCAAACAAAUAGCAUGCCCCUUCAGCUUCAGCACAAUCCAGUACAGUACUUAGGAAAUGGUGAUAUCUCUAUCUAGCUGCACCUCACUAGCCAAAAAGGCUUCAUAGUCCUUGCUGAUGCUGGGUUUGGCCAGAACAACUCUAAGCAGCUCAUAAGAAGCUGUGUGAGGAAGAGUGUUCAAAUGCAUCAGUGUAGGGGAAGACUUGUCAUGUUAUAGUGGUGUAAGUUUUGGAAGCUCUGAAGUAGACUGCAAAUGGUGCUGCUGUGUUUGCUUUGUGGUUGGAUCCUAGUGUUCCCACAAAUAUUCCUAUGUACUGGAAGAAGAGUGCGCUUUCUUAAGAUUAUGUUUCUUAAGGUUAUGUUGUUCCUGACCACUAAUGCUCAUGGUUGUUUUAUCACAAUCAGGUGGAUGCCACAACAAAUAGUGGGAAGGCAUUCCUGCCCCUAAAAAGGGCUUAAAUAUCUUGGUUAUUUCCACCAGUAAUGAGGUGGAAAUAGGAUUACAAGUUUGCUGUAAUGUAUACCAGUGUCAAACAGGAAUGACUCCUGAAAGAGUUAUGCUAAUGUCAAAUGUGCAAGUAUAUAAGGAAGGCCAUGGUAUCUCUUUUUCACUCCUUAAACCCACAUGCUCUCUUCUAAUGUAUAAGACCAGGAGCCUGGCAGCCUUGGGAAACUGAAACGACUGAUAGAGCAGCUGCUAAUUUUUAAGAAACGAAGAUUUUGAGGGCUAUUUCGCAGUUUAUAUUGAGUUUGUAAAAAAAACUGCAUUGUAUCUAAACAUUGCAAACUGAAAGCACAAUUCUGCUUUGUUUCCUAAAUCAUAUAAUUCUUAAAAAAUUGCAGGGGCAUACAUUUAACAGACAGUGCUGUUGCAAGUUAUAACUAACGGCUUUGAAUGCAUAUAACCUAGGGAGGGUUUGAAAAUUUACAUUAAACAAAUUGGGUUGGAUCUACACUGAGGCCGCUAUCCUAUGCAUUCUUUUCUUUGCAUGAAAACAGUGGGAUUUACUUCUGAGUAAAGCAUGCACUGGAUCAUCCUGUGAGUUAGUUGAACUUAAGUCCCAUCUGGAAUCAAUGAAUAAGUCAAGAUUUUAUAGUAAGUUAAAUAAGUUAGUUUUGCCUGAACUUAAGCCCUUUUACAGUGGUGCCUUGCAAGACGAAAUAAAUUCGUUUCGCGAGUUUUGUCGUCUUGCGAUUUUUUUCGUCUUGCGGAGCACGGUGUCGGGAAAGUUUUGGAAAAGCUUCAAAAAUAUCAAAGUCUUUAAAAACCUCAAAAAAGGCUACCACACCGCGUUCUAUGAGUUGCUCCUCGAAGUCAAGUCGCAACUGUAUUAACGGUGUUAAGAAAAAGGAAACAAACUUGCAAGACGUUUCCGUCUUGCGAAGCAAGCCCAUAGGGAAAAUCGUUUUGUGAAGCAGCUCAAAAAACCCUUUCGUCUAGCGAGUUUUUUGUCUUGCGAGGCAUUCGUCUUGUGAGGUACCACUGUAAUCCCAAAGGAAGUGAAAUAUUGGAAAAGGCAAAUCAAGGAGGAGGGAGGUGUAAGUACAAGAAAGAUGGAAGCUAGGAGAAACACGGAUUAAAAAAAAGAGAGAGGGUUAAGUUAACUCAUAAAGAGCAAAACUGGAGAUGAAAAUUGCUUUUUUGGAUUCAGGUUAUUGUGAGACUGCAGUGGUGUUACUUUGACGGAAAUGAACAAGGAGAUAGAUGUGUUUAUCUUCAGUGGCAUUUCAUAUUAUGUGAUGGCAUCUUAAAAGUGGGUUGUAGGGGUUGUUUUUUAUUGAACUAAUAAAAACUCUGUUGUAUACGUAAGGCUGCAUUAGCAGUGAGAUUACUUCAUCUAAAGGUGCAAGUAUAUUGGAAGUACAUGUUUCCUGGUAGAUGUCUUCACCGAGAUUGCUAUCAUUAUUCUACAUUUUUAUAAUCUAUUACUGUCAAAAGAGUGACACAUAUAUGUUAGAAGGCUCAAGCCUAGUAAGUAUGAUUCACCCAAACUGGAACAUUUUAAACUCUCAUUAAUUUCCGUAUGCACUCAACUCUCCCUUUGAAAUGAAUGGGAUUUUGAAGUGGCCCAUUUCAGCUGCACACAUUUCAGCUCCAUGCUUUUUAGACUGAUUGAUAUAACUUGUGGUUGUAUUACGUUUCAUGAGGAGAGCUGAAUUAUUUAAUGUUUGCAAUACAUAAUCAAAAUACAGCUAGAAAACAGUAGGACUAAGGAUGGCAAUGCUAUAUGAAGGAGCAGCAAAAACGUGUGUGUGUGACUAAUUAUUUUGAGAUUUUAGUUGACAAUCACAUUCCUUGCUACAUAUUUUCCUGAAAAAUGAUUGUGGAUGUUUGGUUAUUUCAUGGAUUAAAAAAUGUACAUAGCACCUAUAUAGUAUGCAGUGAGUCUUGCAUUUUCCCUCCUUGGGCUCUAAAAGGUAAAUGUUAUUUUAAGUUCAGUGUAAAUUCCUAUUGGACCAGUUGGCUGCUAUCAUUUGCUUUCUAGGACCUUUUGAUAAGCACAUUUGUCUUUGUUUAUAAUAUAGUUAUUAUAUAUAUAUAUAUAAUAUGUAAAAUGAGUAGUUUUAUGAAUAAUCUUCUACAUGCUCUUAUGUAGCUGUACCAACAGAAUUAAAUGUUAGAUAUACCAUGUUCUCAGAUACGUGUGAGAACCGACCGACCCAUACUUGCUUUAACAGUUCAAUAAAAACUGUAGCAGUUGUGCUUUUGUUAUCAGUUUGGGAGGGGAAAAGCACAUCAGAAAUUAAAUAUGGAAAAGGGUAACAUUCAUUCUUGUCAUGAAUACUGCUCGAAAAGAAAGACAACCUAUAUAGCACUGCUUUGACAUGAACUCCAAGACCAAUAGCUUUGUGGUCCUCAUUGGUUUAAUACGUUGGCCCGCUUUAAGAGGCCCAACACACUCCUUUUGCUUUUUUGGGAGUACCCCAGAUCCCACACUGUAGAUUCUACAGUACUUAACAUUUCAGAACAGAAUUAGCAAUACAAUGAUAUUGCAGCUAGAAUUAUGUGCAUCUUAUUCUAUCAACUUUCAAAUUACGACUGGAGCGAGUUCAUUACAGUGAUAGAAAACACAUUUAAUUACUGGUGAAAAAGGCUUUGCUUCAGGACCACCAUGUCAACUGCUAUGUUAAGUUCAAACAGAAAACAUGUGAAGAGCACUAUUGUCAUCUAAGCAAGAAGUCCUAAUGCCACUGUAGUGUUACUGUAGCAGCAUCAAUCAAGGCAUCAUGGUGACCCCGAGCACUAAUCCUUCCCAAUUCCUUCAGGUCUGCUGGCAGCCAUGUCUCAGGAAGCUGUCUUCAGCAAGGCAGAAGCAGGUAAGAGAAAUACAUUAAAAGUCUAUGUCCCAUCCUGAGUUGUCAUCAGGUGGUGGUUCAUCGUUGUCCUCAGGGAAGCUAUCAAAAUUGCUUGUAUCUGUUGGAGAUGCAACCUGUCCAGUGGGGAGAAAAACAGACUUUGUACUGUUGAUGAUGAUGAUUUAUGCCCAAGCUGUUUGGAAUCAUUAGACAGUUUUCCGAUUUCAAAACUAUAGCUUCAUGCUUGCCAGUGAGAAUUCCAAAGAACAGCUUUGGAAAGCACAAUAAUUCAGAUACUAGAGUUUCCAUUUACAGUACUGCCAUGAGAUGUUUUGUUUGUUUAAAUUUUCUGAACAAGCAUGUCAUGGGUUUUGCAUUUCUGGUUAUAUAGUUUGCGAUCUGACUAAUGUAAAUGUUUUUUUACUGGCUGUUGAUGGUCACUUGGAUGAGAAAUUUAUCUGCAGCAAUGGGAUCUGUGAUGAAUGCUUGGAACAGAGGCAUUGGGGGGGCUGGGGCCAUGGGCACAGUUUUUUGGGGGGCACAUUUAUUAUGAUGCCCUGCCAGCCCAUGGGCCUGACAGUGCGUGUUGUGUCCUUUUCACGGUGCCCCCAUAGCUGGAGGGUGCCAUGAGAAGGACACAAGAGUUCACAGUGCCUGCAAGCCUAGCGCUAUUUUGCACCCUGCCUUGUUGUGUCCUUCUCAGCUGCUCUCAAACUGGAGGGGGGCUAGAAAAGAAUGCAACAGGCAUGCACCUUGCCUGACUUGCACCACUUUUGUAAGUCUUGCAAAGCAGUGCUGGGUUUUGCAGAGGUGACAUGAGUGAGCCCUUGAAGCAGGACAGGGCUUCCCACUGUGCAGUUGGGAAGGUGGCACAGCACAGCACAGCCCUGUUUAGCUCCAUUGGGCGCCCACAAUGAAUGCUCUGUCACUGUCUUGGAAUAUUUUGCAUGAGAAACAGCAGUUCAGGAGCAUUCAGCAGUUUGGAAAAGGCAUAAAAUGACAUGAGAGAAAUGUUCAGAGUGGGUCAGGGUACAAAGGGAGACUUUGUAAAACCUUCUAAGCCAUGAAACUUACUGGGUGACCUUGGGCCACUCACCUACCUAACCUACCUCACAGGUUUGUUCUGAGAAUGAAGUGGAGAGGGGGAGAACCAUGGCCACCACCUUGAGGUCCUUGGAGGAAAGGUGGGGCACAAAUGUAGCAAUAAUCAUACAAAUUCUAGAAGGUACAGAUAAAAAUAGUACAUGCUUUGUUUAACUAAAUCUUGAAAAGAAUUGAUUUGUUUAUUGAAUUGUAUACAAAUGGCUGUUGCAGUAGAAAAACAAGAACCAGGACAAUGGCCAGAAUAAGCACAACGCUAGUAGAACAGAAGUAAUUAGAAACGGUUGGGCCCAAAUAGCAAUGGUUAAGCAUAGAGCACCACAGAUACAAAAAUAUAUGUUUGUAUUAUAAACAUGAAAGCCAGUGAUACAGUGGGCUAGUUUGCAUGACACAGUAAGCCAGACUAUGACUCCAUGAAUGCUGCAGCCAAGGUUUGUUCUUGAUUACAGCUCAAAAUUAGUGAGGAGCCUGCUAAACCACAAAUCCCAGUUUGGACAACUUGGGAAGCCAAGCCUUGACUUAGCUCCUCUCCAGGAGACCACACAUUUGUGUGUUAAAAACUAGUUAUAAAGCUUACAAAUUCAUAAAGCUAGCUAUGCAUCCUUUAUAUUUCCCAUUAUUCCUUUUUCUAUAGGGUCAAGGGUGGGGGAAAGCCCUGGACCACAGCAGAAGUUGGUGGUGAAGGAAAUUUUUUUUAUCCAUAUAAGUAUAUUUUGAAAAGAAACAACAGGUGACAGUGUUAAAUUUGGAAACAUGGAGAGAAGGAAAGAGAGUUUUGAGUUGGCUGAAGGCAAAGCAUCUUGGGGUGAUGGAGGAGCUCUCUCUCUCUAGGGAUCCAUACAACAUAAUGGAAUUUCUAGGUUUCAAGACUGCCUGUUUGUCUCCACUUAGGUUCUGCUUGGAUAUUUGGAAAUAAAGCAAAUAGUACAAAGACACCUUAAGUCUCCAGUGCUCGCUCAUCCAAAGGAAACUAAACUCGGAAGCGCUGCCCCUGGAACUUCUGACUGCUUGGGUAAGUGGGGAGAAGGUAACAGUCGGUACCUAAAGAUAGAGGGGAACCCACUAUUUUCAGAAAACUAAGCUUCAUGACUCCUAAAUAAAUUUCAAGGUUUUGUACAUUUAAAAGAGAUAAAUUCAUUCAUAAUUUGCCGCUAUAAUUUAUAAUUUACUAUUUGUUUUAGGGAUUUUCAAAAUUGAUGGAUUGUUUUUCAGUAUAUCACAUGAGUUGCAGAUGGGGGAAGCUUCAGUUUUCACAGUGAAUUCUUAAAACCAGAAAAGUGAAAUUUUAAAGUAUAGUUCACUGUAUGAAUCAAAAUCAAAAAUUCACUUUCAUUCAAACAUUGGAAAAACACAAUUUGGUUAAGUCAUGAAGCUCAUGCUUUCAGGAUAUACAUUGCUUAGCUAUAUAAUAUGGGGAAAGGGUUGCUGAGGAUCUGAGAAUAUUUGUUAUCUAAAUUAAAAUAUAUAAAAUUAGAUUGUAUCCAAAGAAAAACCUUAAAACAACCAGAGCUUUCACCAUUCCUCCUUUUGGAAAGGUCUGUGGGCUUAAAAGGUGAAUGUUUGCAAGUAUAUAGUGACUACAGAAAGCUUCCUCCCAUUGCUUCAUUCCCUGCUGCGACAGUACUGAAACCUGGAGGUACGUCCAUGAAGUUUGGAGCUCUGAUACAGAAACAGCUGUGUUUCUGUUCAGUCACUUAUAAACUACUGUGUUUGGAGGAAUCUUUUGUAUGACUGAUGGAAGGGAAGUGAUUACAACAAAGAAGAGGUACCAAAAAGCAAACUAUUUUGCAUUACUGUACUUUUUUUGGCAGGGGAGGGGUGUGCCAUCAGCUUUGACUUUGCUUAGUCCCUGAUUUAUCAUUUGGACUAUCAUGGAGUUAGUACAGCAGUUGCAGGUGGUAGAUAUAUGCCUGACAGCAAAAGCAUAGCCUUUAGCACUGGUAUAGAAUCGCAGGAACUUGGCAAGGAAAUAAAGGGCAUGUUGGAGAGACAGGAGGAAGGAGUAAAGGCGAAGCACAAGAGACCUAAAGCAAACUGGCUAGGAAAGAAGAACAAGCAGCUUUACUACAAUAAAAAGAAAACAAAAUGUCUCUGGAAAUACAUCUCAGUCCAGGACUCAAUCUCUACAUAUGUGCACAAACUCUGAUGCAUCAACAUCAGGGAAAACUCUGCACUCUUAAUGCAUGCCCCGGACAACAGUGUCGGUGAGAAACAUGCUUAUAUAGAUAAGCUCCAGUAUAGCUGGAGGCCCACAGGGCUUUCAACCAAAGCUGGCUGCUGUUGUAGCAGAGUGUCUCAAAAAUUUUUCUUCAUUCUCUGUUCCAAUCUAGCAUGUAUGAACGAAUAACAGAAUAAAUGGUAUACUCACACUUGGUAUUAUAGGAGGUGUCAAUGUACCUUUUCUUAAACCUUCCCAGUUAAAGCCUUCAAACCACCUAAAAACAGGGAAAUGAUAAUAUAAGGUAAGGAGCAGGAUUUGCAGCCCCCUUAAGUCUCCUGAGGGUUGGGGGAACUGUCUACAACUGUAUGGGGUAUGCCAUAGAGGGUGGCAGUUGGUAGGGGGAGUGGUGAAAACGGAGUGCCUCAUUAUGCACCACCCACAACCACUUAUGCUAGUGAAAAGUCACACUGCAUAUAGCACUAUAGGAACAAGAAUGGCAUUUCUCUAUAAAUGGUAAAUGUCAAACAAAAUGGGACUUAUAUAUAUACAGAAAGCAUGAUGUUUGGCACCUCAAUAUAUGUUGAGUGGGAACUAUUCCUGCAUUGGUAUUUAAAAAAUAUAUAUAAAUUAUGUUCUUUAAAGAUAUUGUCAAUUAAAAACCACCAAAACCAACGUUCCAUGCAUUUGUUUCAAUGGAAAUUGCUCACAGAGCCAAUGGCACCCAGUUUUAGGAGCUAUAAAGUCCAUUGAAUUCCCAUCAGUGGGAAUAGGGACUGCACAAAGAAAUAUUGGUUGUACCCCAAAAGCCUAGAGGUGGUUUAAAUUCAAAACAGAUGCCUCAUAAUAAGCAAUGAACUUGUUUCAAGCUUCAGACUAAAAGAAAGCCUAAACACUGCGUAUAUACUUCUCCUGUUGCCCUUGCUUCUGUCAGAAUUUUCUCCCUCUGUUGAGUACUGGGACAGGACUGUUGCUUCUUAUACCAUCUGGAAAAUGUCCUGUGAACUGAUGGUAAUAACUUUUCAGCAUCUGAAACAUACGUACUUGUGCUUUUGAAUAUCCUUGACACCGUUUUUUAAGUUCCCUAGUCUUUCUGAUGGGUUGUCCCUGUAAGAAAAAGAAAACAUAACACCCCAGCACACAACAGAGUAGAAUGAAAAAGCUGGGAGGUAAUUCCAUUCUCUGCUAUCCUUUAUUUAUUUAAACAUUCUCUAUCCCACUGUUGUUCUCAAUAGCAUGCAAGGGAGCUAACAAUCAAAACAGUGGACUGUCUACUCCAAGUAUGACUCUAAGGCUAUAAUCUCAACCAUGUCUAUUUUACACCCAGGCCUUUGGCACCUGAGAUAUGUUUUCAAGACCCACCCUAUUAUUGUGAAUGUAGUAUGGUUUAUAACUGCCUUUAAUUUGGAACAUUAGGUUGUUGCAAUCCACCCUGGGACCUGCUGGUGAAGGGCAGGUAAAAGAACUGAUAACAACAUCAUCAUCUAUUCAGAAGUACAUCAGGACCAACCUGAAUACCAAAACAUGCACAAAAAUUCUAUAGAAUACAACCAGCAUCAAAAUAGCAAGAACUUGUGGUGCUAAUUCACAUUCCCUUCUUGACAAAACUACUAAUGCAAUCUACAAAGUGUUUACCUGCAUAGUUUUUUAGUAAGGUUAGCAGCAUUUUUGGCAAUCUUCUUUGGAAAUUCAAUCAUGUCAAUCCCCCUUAGUAUGAUGUUAUAAGUUUUCAUGGGGUCUGGGCCUGAGAAUGGUGGACU
rnacentral:lncRNA from 1 species